UACCUGCAGCUCAAGUGGUGACCGCUAUUAUUGGGCCUAAAACGUCCGUAGCCGGCUGAGUAAAUGCCUGGGUAAAUCGUGUCGCUUAACGAUACGAACUCCGGGUAGACUGCUUGGCUUGAGACUGGGAGAAGCUAGAGGUACUCCUGGGUAGAGGUGAAAUUCUGUAAUCCUGGGGGGACCACCAGUGGCGAAAGCGUCUAGCUAGAACGGGUCUGACGGUGAGGGACGAAACCCUGGGGCGCGAACCGGAUUAGAUACCCGGGUAGUCCAGGGCGCAAACGCUGCUUGCUUGAUGUUAGCUGGGCUCCGAGCUCGGCUAGUGUCGGAGAGAAGUUGUUAAGCAAGCUGCCUGGGAAGUACGAUCGCAAGAUUGAAACUUAGAGGAAUUGGCGGGGGAGCACAGCAACGGGUGGAGCGUGCGGUUU
rnacentral:rRNA from 1 species